GGAUAUAGCUCAGUUGGUAGAGUGCUUGCCUUGCAUGGACAAGGCCCUGGGUUCAAUCCCCAGCACCA
rnacentral:tRNA from 1 species